CAGCAAGUUAUGACCUCUCUGAGCCUUUGGUGGCUCGUGUUUCAAGGACUUUCACAACUUUAUAGGAAACAUUUUCAAGGACCGGGGAUUUAGCUCAGUGGUUCUGCCCCCUGCCUCGCAACUGCAGGGUCCCGAGUUCAAUCCCUGGCACCAAAAAAAAAUUUUUUUUCAAGUAGAACUUUUUUAAAGAAAAAAAUGUUUGCAUGAAACUGUUAUAUGAAGGAGAAGUAGAACUGUCUGGCUGAAGAAGGGAUGGAGGCUCUAAAGGAGGACUUGUUCUCCAUUCAUUCUGCAGUCUUCAAUGGAACCUUGGAUUCUGCCGACAUAGUUUGAAAACCAGCAGCUGUGAGAGAAUUCUAAUAAGCUGAAUGCCACGGUGCACUGUUCUGCUGUGCACAGUUUUGUCACCUUAUGUUUUUGGAAAUGGCAAGUAUAAAAGAUGCUGCAGACUUGCUUCCCUUGUUAGGGCUGGACUUGCCUUCUCCAGCCUUGGAAGCACAAUCCUCACCGAGAUAGAAACAUCGAGCUACAGAGAAAGGAGGGUGUUUUCUUAAAUACAAAUAUAUAUAUAUGCGGCAAGAGUUGGAAAAAAGUAUAACUAGAGAAGUAAGAGAAGCUACUGUCGAACUUGAAUCUGGAUCCUUUAAAGUUUCUCCCACAAGAUCUGCUAAUAAAUCAAGCCAAGAUCUAAUUUCAGAAACAUCCCAAGAAUAUCUGGAGAUUUUAAGGAGAAGAUAUAUGAUUUGAAAAAUUAAUUUUAUUUAUUGAACUUUAUAUUUAUAACAUUUUAAUUAUUUCCCAUAAGUUGUAUGACAUGAAAACUUUGUUUAAAGAAAAAAAUGUUUGUAUCAUAGGUACAUGAUGAAAAUUUGUAUACUGUUUUAAACUGUUUCUUGACAUCUGUAACUCUUAAGUGAUAUUUGCAAGUAAAAACCAGUGUUACUGAGUUUUAUGUACUGAAACUUCCCAAAUGCCAGCUACUUUUUUCUUUUUUCAGUACGAGGAUUGAACUCAGGACCUUGCACUUGCAAGGCAGGCAUGGUGCCACUGAGCUGAAUCCCCAGCCCUGCAACAGCUAUUUUAAAUUCACCCAAACAACCAAGUUGUCAUUAAUACUUUGUUGGAGUGAAAUGUCACUUUAGUGAUAUUUUGAAAAUUGCAUUUUCCCAGUUUUUAUCAUUCUCUAUGGAUCUAAAAAUGUAGACAUUAUUUUGGUAUAAUGAUGCUAUAGCCACUAUCAACACUAACGUGUUCCAAGUGCCAUCAGACAUACAAUUUUAUUAUUUUUUUAAUUUUAAGAAGUUAUCUAUAGGCCCAGCAUGGUGGUGCAUACCUAUACUCUGAGCACUCAGGAGGUUGAGGCAGGAGGAUUGCAGUGAGUUCAAAGGCAGCCUGGGCUACAUAGUGAGGGAAAAAAAUCUGUAAUUCUUUUCUCACAGAGAGACAUUUCCCAGCUUUUCACCUGUUUGUUUUUCUCCCCCCACUGGAGAUUAAACCCAGAGAGCACUGAGCUACAUCCCCAAUUCUGUUUUUUUGUUUGUUUUGUUUUGUUUGAGACUGGGUCUUUGUAAAUUGCUUUAACAGACUGAGCUUUAACUUGCAAUCCUCCUACCUCAGCCUCUCCAGUAGCUGGGAUUACAGGCAUGUGCCAGCACACCUGACUGAUAACUAUAAUACAAGCUUCACAAUUAGGAAGUUACCACAUUUUAUCACUUAGUCCUCCAUAGUGUCUCCAAGGUUUGCUCCUUGUCUGUUCUAGUAGAGGAUUCCAUUCAGAUCCACAGAUUCUGUUUAGUUCUAUGUCUUAGUUCCAGUCUGGAACAUUGUUCAACAGAGGCUGGGGCCACGUGCUGCCCAGUCCAUCUCAGAGAAGGCAGGGAAAGGCCCUUUUAUCCCCGGCAGGAAGAAUGGGCAUGGGACUGUGGUGUCACCCUGUCCAGCUGGAAGACAGCAGGAGGCUGGCUGCACACAGGGCUGAGAAAAGAUGUUCUCUGGGCUGCAGCUUUGUCCUUGUGCCCUGUGGUGAGGGGAGAUGCCACCCGCAGAAGUCUUCCUGCCCUCCCGCAUCCCUAUUCAGGCCCAGGGACCCCGGGAGGCUGUGGAUGCCAGGCCCAAGCUAGCGCACUUUGCAGGAACACAGGGCACUUGCCACAUGGAGAUGGCGGAUGCGGAGUUGAGUGCCUGCAGAUGAACUUCAGUCCGGGGAACAGGAGCUCCUUCCUCCAGGAUGACCCUGGGUGCACUGAACUCAUGUAGCUGAAUCCACCCAGUUCAUUGCUGGAUGUGCUGUUGGGAAGUAGAGUCUGGUUUGGAGAUGGCCAGUCCCUGGGGUUGUGACCUGGUUUGUUUCCUGUUUUUUGAGAGAAGGCCUCUCUAGGUAGUUCAGGCUGGCUUUGAACUCACGGGGAUCCUCCUGUGUCAGCCGCCUUUGUGUUGGCAUCACAGGUUGGCACCAUCACACCUGGCUGGCUGCAUUUUUGUCCCAAGCCUCCUGCUCCUUUCUCUCUCUGCUCCCUGGCAGCCGUGGCAUGAGCAGCUUCCUUUACGCUGCCCUUCUUGCCAGGCCUCCUCUGCCUUAGAGUCAGAUGGCCAUGGACUGAGCCCACUUAAAUCAUGAGCCAAGGAAACCACUAAGUUGGAGGCAUCAGGUGUUUCAUCUCAGCAAAAGGAAGCUGACUGAUACAGUUCCUCUGCCCUUUAGCUGUUCCCUUUCUAGAAUUUCUUCCCUGAAAUGCUGUGGGAUAAUUACCAGUUCAAACUCUGGCAUACUUGGAGGAAAAUCAAAGCAC
ensembl:lncRNA